CCUCGGAUCAGACGUGAUUACCCGCUGAACUUAAG
rnacentral:rRNA from 1 species